GAUGAGUCUUUCUAACGGAAAUUUAUGACAGCUGAAAAUCAAAUGUUCAAUAUCACCAACAGUAUUUUCACAGGCGGUGCACUUGUUAUCCAGUAUUAUGCCCAAUCUAUAUAAAUGUGCAGGAGUGGUGUGGUGGCCAAAACGAAGCCGGUUCAUGGUCGUAAUAAAAUCUCGGCUAGCAACCUUCAAAUUGUUAUACCACGGUUGAGUUGGUAAAACUUCUUGUACGCUUCCGUACCAUUUUCCUUUUUCUUGUUGGUCUUCUUUCCAAAAAUCAAUCCAUAUUUCUAACAUAUCCUUUUUAAUUGAUGCAUAGAAAUCAGUGAAUGGAGUAUUUGCAACAAAUGAAACAUCUAAUAAAUUAGUCCCCUCAUAUGCAGCUUUAUCCGCAAUUUCGUUUCCUGUUAUUCCUCUAUGGGAGGGUAUCCACAUAAAGGAUAUUUCAACUCCCUUGACAGCUUUAAAUUCAUAUAAAAUUUGAAUUAUCUUAAAUAAUAAAUAGUUGGAUUUGAAGUGGAAGUUUAAAUUGUCUAGUGCCUGGAGAACACUUAAUGAAUCAGAAAAUUUGAGACAUGCUUGGUGAUUUACGACAGAGAAGGUCACUUCCAGUUAUUGAGGGUGCAAUUUGCUGACAUGGAUGAGAUCUGACACAAGCGAGACAAAGCUGUCUGCACAACUUCUUCCUCGCCUGAAGCCAUAUUGAAUAUUUGGUAUAAUACCCUUGGACUCAACAUACCAAUCAAGACGGAUUUUAAUCAUAUUCUCGAAAAUUUUUCCUAAACAAGAUGAUAACGAAA